GGGCGGUGAUUGGCCUCCGCCAGCCUGAGGCGUGAAGCCCUUCCAGGGCGCGGCCUGGCUGCCGCUGGACCCCUGGUCUGGGCCCCUUUCCUCGCUGCCCGGGUCCGCUGGCCGUCCGUCCGCCCGUCCGGGGCAGCGAGGGGGUCGCAGCGCCGGAGCUGAGGGUGGGCCCAGAGCCGUGCUGUGCACACACGCCCGCGUCUGCGACAGAAGUGGCUUGAGGACAGGCCCAUCCCGGAGCAAGAUUCCCGUCCCGGGAACUGAGGUGGGAGGGCAGGCUACAGAGAAGGCGGGCCCGUGCCCAGCUGGCAGAGCUCAGAAAGGGAUGGCCUCACUCGGGCAGCCACG